UGGGGAAUCUUGCGCAAUGGGCGAAAGCCUGACGCAGCCAUGCCGCGUGGAUGAUGAAGGUCUUAGGAUUGUAAAAUCCUUUCACCGGUGAAGAUAAUGACUGUAGCCGGAGAAGAAGCCCCGGCUAACUUCGUGCCAGCAGCCGCGGUAAUACGAAGGGGGCUAGCGUUGCUCGGAAUUACUGGGCGUAAAGGGAGCGUAGGCGGACAUUUAAGUCAGGGGUGAAAUCCCAGAGCUCAACUCUGGAACUGCCUUUGAUACUGGGUGUCUUGAGUGUGAUAGAGGUAUGUGGAACUCCGAGUGUAGAGGUGAAAUUCGUAGAUAUUCGGAAGAACACCAGUGGCGAAGGCGACAUACUGGAUCAUUACUGACGCUGAGGCUCGAAAGCGUGGGGAUCAAACAGGAUUAGAUACCCUCGUAGUCCCUGAGCGGGCUGGCAAGGCGCAU
rnacentral:rRNA from 1 species